rnacentral:rRNA from 1 species
GAUGAACGCUAGCUACAGGCUUAACACAUGCAAGUCGAGGGGUAACAUGGCGGGAGCUUGCUCCUGCUGAUGACGACCGGCGCACGGGUGAGUAACGCGUAUCCAACCUGCCCAUGACUCAGGGAUAACCUUCCGAAAGGGAGCCUAAUACCUGAUGUUCUGCGACGAUGGCAUCAGAAUUGCAGUAAAGAUUCAUCGGUCAUGGAUGGGGAUGCGUGGGAUUAGGUAGACGGCGGGGUAACGGCCCACCGUGCCAUCGAUCCUUAGGGGUUCUGAGAGGAAGGUCCCCCACACUGGUACUGAGACACGGACCAGACUCC